UACAUUUUUACCUAUUAAAAAAUAAAAAUGUUAUUUAUAUCACUAACCAUAGAUCACAUUGUCCGGACAAUUAGCGUAAAGCUUUUUGCCCACUUUUUUCCGAGCAUUGCGUUCCACACAACUUCGUAUUUGCUCGGCUCUUCAUUUUUGAGUUCGAGCUACGAAAAUAUACGAAAGCACAAUCAUUUCACUUCAUGCGACCGAGAUGGUCGAAUGCUGAACAAACAAAAGUUUAUGUGUGUGUGACACACUUGUGUAAGCAAAAAGUCGACAAGAAAUUUUGAAUUCUUUCUAGAAGGGUUCAGGGGAUCUCGUAGUCGAUCAGUCUCGACUAGAGCUUCCUUACUUGUGUAAGUUUUAUAAAGAAUUUUCCUUCCGUCAUAUGAAUGUCUAUCUAAGUUUAUUUAUAUAAAUAAGUGGCACACGCAUAUAAAGGGGGCUAUCCACAGACGAAUUUGUUACACGAACAUGUUGUGUUCGUGAAAUAUUCGAAUGUGGAUAGGAGUGUUCGUUUGUGUUCAGAUGAAAAUAGAAAUGUUUCUAUCUUACGGGUGUUCGUGCGAGCAUGUUCGACAAUGGAUUCGAGUGUUCGCACGAACAUGAUUCCUAGAAAUAUUUCGGACAGUCAACAUAGGCCAGAAUGAACCGAUAAUUUCUUGAUUAUUUUCAAAAUGAGCCGACUUUGUGGCAAAAUAAAAGCGAAAACAAUCAAAAUAUAAAACUGCGCAACAAAUCAUGGGACAAAUCAUAAUUAAAAUAUAAAGUUGUCGAAGAAAACGACACAAUUAAUGCCGUUAAAGCAAAUGUAAAUUGUCUGCACGCUUCAUACAGGCGGGAACUCGAAAAAAUAAAAUGAGGCGCAAAGUCAGGUCUUUCUUUUAUUUUAAGCUUAAGCUCGAUUUUGUUUUCUUCCGCUGGCAUGUUCACAGUCUGAAAUUUGUUUUAAAAUGAUGCUCGCGAACAUGUUUGUGAAAAUGUUCGCAUAGUUAGUAGACAAACUCGGCGAACAUGUUCGUGUAACAAAUUCGUCUGGGGAUAGCCCCCUUAAAUUCCUUAGUUGAUCGCUACAAAUACCGAUGCCGAUGAGUAUAAAUAUUAAUAAAUAAAUGUGUAUAGUCUAGGGGCGUAGCAAAUCGAAAACUGCAUUAUUCGAUAUACUAGAAUUUACUUGAAAAGCUAGAGAGCGGAAAUUCGGAAUGUAGAUUUCCGUUGUCCACCUAAAAUCUACACCCAUUGGGGGCGUUGCAAAUCGGAUAAAACUUUAUCCUUUUAUAUUCUUGGUUAAUACUUUAUUUGCUGUUUUCACAGUAUGAUGAAAUAAAUUUGCGCUGAAUUUUGAGAGCUCAACUUGCAGGAAAGUGAAUUUGGGACCACGCACAACUAUUGAGCAGUGGGAUCUUGUUCUCAAACACUUUGAAAAUUGUCAUUCCCGUAGAAAUAUAGCUGAUGGUUGGAUUUAGUGGUUCUACAUUUUAAAACAUCAUAUACCGAUUUGUCCGUGAAAAUAGAACCCACGAUAAGGGGAGAAAUGUUCCGAACAAAAUUUUUAAUUCCAUGGACGAGCGCUAUAUUGUGAGAAAAAUCCGUGACAACCCAAGGCUAUCGGCUCGACAAGUGGCCAAUGAUGUUAAGAAGGAGUUGGGCAAGGCAUGUCACCCAGAAACUGUUAUCCGUAUGCUUCGGCCACAUAACUUUAAUGGCCGAGCACCACGCAAGAAGCCUUUUAUAAGCGACAAAAAGAAAAGGUGUCGCUUAAGCUUUGCUAAGGAGCACUUGCACAAGCACAUUUGAUUCUAGAACACUGUUUUAUUUUGCGAUGAGUUCACAUUCAAUUUGUUUGGGUUAGAUGGGCCCUCAUAUGUGUGGCGUAAGCCUAAUACAUGGUUUGGGUCUGUAUAUCAGCAGGAGGCGUUGAGAACUUGGAGUUCAUAGAGACUACAAUGGAUAAAGGCAAAUAUCUUGAUAUUUUGAAGUCCAAUUUAAUUCAAAGUCUCAGAAACUCUGAACAAAGGAGGACUUCAGAAUUCACCAAGAUAUUGACUUGAAAGACACUGCAACAAUAGUCUAGACUUGGCUGAUCUGGAAAUGUCUGAACGUUAUGAAAACACCAGGCCAGCCCUGAUUUUAAUGUAAACGAAAAUUUUUGGUCGAUUUUGGAAAUAAACAUUCGCAAUCACAAAAUAUUGAACAAAUCGGUCAUAAAAGCUGCAUUGGUUAAGGAAUGAGAUACCAUUACUCUAGAAGUAACCAAAAAGUUCGUGGAAUCAGCCCCAAAAAAAUGGUUACAUAUGUUAUUUUUAUUUGGUUGGAGACUUAAAUUAGUUAAUUCGGUCAAGUGGAAACAUAAAAUUUAGCUAAUAUUUAAAUUGUUCAUCAUAUGUCAAAAUACUUUUGUCACCUUGAAUUUUGAUAUAAUGCAUUUUUUAUUCCCUGCAAACAUUGAAAAUGGGAAAUCAGAGAAUCUUUUUGUGAAAAUGUAUGUAACAGGCAGUAGGGGGCAUCACAGAUUCCACAUAGUAGAUAUACACUCAUGAUGAAAAUAAUAAGUACACCAAAAUAGUUUUAGAGACUAUAUAACUAAGACUUCAUAACUAACAAUUUUUGGUAUUUUUGAAAAAAAAAAAAAAAAAACUCGAAAGAGCUUACUUAAUAUAAUAGGUACACUGAACUUCAACAGUCAGAAAAAAACGUUUAGAAUACGAAAUGUUGCUUUUAUUGUUAUAAAAUAGUAAGUAUCCUUCACACAAAAAAGUAGAAAAACAAUUCUUAUUAUCAUAUGUCGAUGGGUCGAAAUAUUCAUUGUUCGAGUGAGGAACGGAGAAUUGCUAAAAACCGUAGAGAGAAAGGCAAAUCUUUGCGAAGCUGAUGAACAUAUCGCUUAAUUUUUUGCAAAAUGCUUUAAAGGCACAAUAAAAGAAAACACGUAGACGUCCAUCGAAAACAACAUUAGAACGCAUUAAAAGAAGUGCCAAAUCCGACCCUUUCGUCUUCAACGGUCAUUUUAUCCGUAAUGGAUAAUAUAAUUAAUGCUUAUUGAUUUGGGAGAUGACUACAACUGCAAUCUGGCAAUAUGAUACAUGAAAAAAGAAUUGUAUUUUUAUUGAUGCAAAAUUUUGCUAAAGACCACAUCACCUGGGAAAGAUCUGAACGUCAAAAAAAGUGGCAUAUUAUCCUAUUUAACGACGAACCCAAAAUUUGCCUUUAUAGAAAUGACUAUUCAAGACAUGUCAGACUCCCUAAAGGUAAAGAAUUUAAUCCUCACUACACAAAAAAAAAAAAAGUGAAGCAUGGCGGUGGGAACAUUAUGAUGUGGGGCUGCUUCUGUAUCGUUUGAUGUUCCUAAUAUCUGACAUUAUGAGAGUAGCAGACUACAGGGGUAUUCUCGAAAAUAUAGUGCUAACAAAUACUGAGGAAAACAUGCCCCUGCGCUGGGUUUUUCAACAGGAUAACGGCCUGAAACACUUGUCUAAAAUAGUAAAAACUUGGUAUGGACGCUCUCGCUUGGCCCAGUCAUUCUCCUGAUCUGAAUCCAUUCAAAAACUUGUGUAGUGAAUUGAAAAUUGGCAAAGAAAAGGUGUGACAAUAAACGCCAAUUAUGGGACUGUGUCCCAGAAGAUUGCGAAUGAGAACUGCCACGCUUUGAUUAGCAGUAUGCCUAACCGGAUAGAAAAAGUUGUAGAAAAUUAAGGAGAAUAUACAGGAUAUUAAUCCAAAAAUAAAAUAACAAAAGAUUAAGAUUUGAAAAUCCAAAAUUUGAAUACAACUUACCAAAGUAAAGUGUACCUAUUAUUUUAGUCAAGCACAAUAAAGUUAAAUUUUUAGGAGUGUA